rnacentral:rRNA from 1 species
GACGAACGCUGGCGGCGUGCUUAACACAUGCAAGUCGAACGGAAAGGCCCUGCUUUUGUGGGGUGCUCGAGUGGCGAACGGGUGAGUAACACGUGAGUAACCUGCCCUUGACUUUGGGAUAACUUCAGGAAACUGGGACUAAUACCGGAUAGGAGCUCCUGCUGCAUGGUGGGGGUUGGAAAGUUUCGGCGGUUGGGGAUGGACUCGCGGCUUAUCAGCUUGUUGGUGGGGUAGUGGCUUACCAAGGCUUUGACGGGUAGCCGGCCUGAGAGGGUGACCGGCCACAUUGGGACUGAGAUACGGCCCAGACUCCUACGGGAGGCAGCAGUGGGGAAUAUUGCACAAUGGGCGGAAGCCUGAUGCAGCAACGCCGCGUGCGGGAUGACGGCCUUCGGGUUGUAAACCGCUUUCGCCUGUGACGAAGCGUGAGUGACGGUAAUGGGUAAAGAAGCACCGGCUAACUACGUGCCAGCAGCCGCGGUGAUACGUAGGGUGCGAGCGUUGUCCGGAUUUAUUGGGCGUAAAGGGCUCGUAGGUGGUUGAUCGCGUCGGAAGUGUAAUCUUGGGGCUUAACCCUGAGCGUGCUUUCGAUACGGGUUGACUUGAGGAAGGUAGGGGAGAAUGGAAUUCCUGGUGGAGCGGUGGAAUGCGCAGAUAUCAGGAGGAACACCAGUGGCGAAGGCGGUUCUCUGGGCCUUUCCUGACGCUGAGGAGCGAAAGCGUGGGGAGCGAACAGGCUUAGAUACCCUGGUAGUCCACGCUGUAAACGGUGGGUACUAGGUGUGGGGUCCAUUCCACGGGUUCCGUGCCGUAGCUAACGCUUUAAGUACCCCGCCUGGGGAGUACGGCCGCAAGGCUAAAACUCAAAGGAAUUGACGGGGCCCCGCACAAGCGGCGGAGCAUGCGGAUUAAUUCGAUGCAACGCGUAGAACCUUACCUGGGUUUGACAUGGAUCGGGAGUGCUCAGAGAUGGGUGUGCCUCUUUUGGGGUCGGUUCACAGGUGGUGCAUGCCUGUCGUCAGCUCGUGUCGUGAGAUGUUGGGUUAAGUCCCGCAACGAGCGCAACCCUUGUUCACUGUUGCCAGCACGUUAUGGUGGGGACUCAGUGGAGACCGCCGGGGUCAACUCGGAGGAAGGUGGGGAUGACGUCAAGUCAUCAUGCCCCUUAUGUCCAGGGCUUCACGCAUGCUACAAUGGCUGGUACAGAGAGUGGCGAGCCUGUGAGGGUGAGCGAAUCUCGGAAAGCCGGUCUCAGUUCGGAUUGGGGUCUGCAGCUCGACCUCAUGAAGUCGGAGUCGCUAGUAAUCGCAGAUCAGCAACGCUGCGGUGAAUACGUUCCCGGG